AAACUGAAGAGUUUGAUCAUGGCUCAGAUUGAACGCUGGCGGCAGGCCUAACACAUGCAAGUCGAGCGGUAACAGAUCCAGCUUGCUGGAUGCUGACGAGCGGCGGACGGGUGAGUAAUGCAUAGGAAUCUGCCCGAUAGUGGGGGAUAACCUGGGGAAACCCAGGCUAAUACCGCAUACGUCCUACGGGAGAAAGGGGGCUCCGGCUCCCGCUAUCGGAUGAGCCUAUGUCGGAUUAGCUAGUUGGUGAGGUAACGGCUCACCAAGGCCACGAUCCGUAGCUGGUCUGAGAGGAUGAUCAGCCACAUCGGGACUGAGACACGGCCCGAACUCCUACGGGAGGCAGCAGUGGGGAAUAUUGGACAAUGGGGGCAACCCUGAUCCAGCCAUGCCGCGUGUGUGAAGAAGGCCCUCGGGUUGUAAAGCACUUUCAGCGAGGAAGAACGCCUAGCGGUUAAUACCC
rnacentral:rRNA from 1 species